rnacentral:lncRNA from 1 species
UAGUGUUUGGUCUAGAAUGAAAGAAUAAACUAAUGACUGUUCAACAAUGCUCUGUAAUGGAAUUUUAUGUUGCUAUCUACAAAUUUCUAGGGGAAAGACAGUGAAGAUCUUAACUCAAGGAGGAGAGAUGCUAGAACUUUGCUAUGAGUUGCGGACACCGUUUGUCAUGUCAGUUGUUGCUAACCAGGUCCGCCACAUGUUUUUAUCCUUGCUUCUUCUCCUCUUUUUAUGAGUAUAAUAGCUCCAUUCUGCUUGUGUAAAUGUUCUUCCUUCGAUGUUCUGUUUCACAAUUGUGUUAUGUUAUACUCUAUUUUUCCCUUAAUCAAUUUAUUGCAUUUUUAUGUUAGAAUUUCAAUGGUUACUCUCAUUGAGAAGAGGAUGGCACUCGAGAUGGGGCAAUUUUCUGGUUUUCUUCAUUCACAAAACACAAAAGCCAUACCUAUCCGAGGGAGGUUGGAUGCAUAUAUAUAGCCAUAGCUGGCUGCUAGCCUAUUGUUGCACCCUCCUAGUCUAAAAUUUGAAAUUUGAAUGAGAUGCUGUCCUAGAGGGCAUCCAAACUAAAUAAAGCAUAAAGGAGGCAUAAAGGAGAUGCUAACUGCUGCUGUCCUACUAACCGCAGCUGUCCUAGCAACUGAAAAAUAUGCUAAAGGGUAGAUGCUGUCCUGAAAAAGGUGAAACUACCCAAAAGCAAAAAGAAGAAUCACGACCAAGGACCACAAAGACUUAUCCAACAUUCUCCCCCUAAGUCUUGUGCGUCGUCUUGUGGGGAAGUUGGGCCAUCCCGAUCCUGGAGCAGAGCUCGAGAAACUUGAUCCUCCCAAGAGGCUUGGUGAGCAAGUACGCAAGCUGGUCCUUGGUGUUGAUGUAGCUCGCCUUGAUGCUCCCUUCCUCCAAGUAGCUUCGGAUGAAGUGGUACCUCACCCGGAUGUGCUUGCUCCGUUCGAGAAAAACGGGGUUCUUUGCCAGGGCCAAAGUGGACUUGCUAUCCACCCUGAGCUCCACCGUUCCAGUGUCUCUGCCGAGGAGAUCACUAAGCAGUCGAGCAAGCCAGAGCGCCUGGGUCGAAGCGGCGGAGGCCGCCAUGUACUCGGCCUCGCAGCUGGACAGGGCCACCACCUGCUGCUUGACCGACUGCCAGCUAACGAGGCACUUGCCGAGGAAGAAGAGAAUCCCGCUCGUGCUCUUGCUGGUGUCGAUGUCGCCGGCGUGGUCGCUGUCGCUGUACCCGACGAAGUGUGCCUUGCCAGGACACCUCGGGUAGUAGAGACCGUGGUCGAGAGUCCCCGCAACGUAGCGGAUGAUCCUCUUCACAGCCUGCUGGUGCUCCGUCGUCGGUCGCUGCAUGAACCGACUGACGUAGCCGACGGAGAAGGCCAAGUCCGGCCGUGUGUGGGUGAGGUAGCGAAGGCUCCCCACAAGACGCCGGUACUGUGUAGCAUCCACCUCCUCCGCCGUGCUGUCGCGGCUCAGCUUCAGUCUCUCCUCCAUCGGAGUAAGAGCUGGGUUGCAAUCGGUGAGCCCAGCCAGCUCAACGACGCGCUUGGCGUAGGCGGUCUGUCGAAGCGUGAUCCCGGAGUCGUCCUGGUGCACUUCGAUCCCCAGGUAGAAGGAGAGAGGCCCCAGAUCACUCAUCUGGAAGGUGGCCUUCAUCUCCUUGAACGCCGCGACCUCCGCAUCCUUGGUGCCGGUGAUCACCAAGUCGUCGACGUAGACACCCACCAGCAAGGCAUUUCCUCCAUUGCCCCGCCGGUAGAUGGCCGCCUCGUGCGGGCUUUGCUCGAAGCCCAUCCCCUUGAGCGUGGAAUCCAACUUGGCAUUCCACGCCCUCGGUGCCUGCCGCAAGCCGUAGAGGGCCUUGUGCAGGCGUAGCACCUUGCCCUCCUUGCCGGGGAUCACAAAUCUCGGCGGCUGGUGCACGUAGACCUCCUCCUUCAAGUCGCUGUUCAGAAACGCCGACUUGACGUCCAUGUGAUCGACGCCCCAGCCUUCCUGAGCAGCCAGCGCAAGGAGUCGCACGGACUCCAUCCGUGCCACGGGAGCGAAGGCAUCAUCGUAGUCGAUCCCCUCCUGCUGCACGAAACCGCGUGCCACCAAGCGAGCCUUGUGCUUGACGAUGGCUCCGGCUUCAUCCCUCUUCAGCUUGAACACCCACUUAAGGGUGAUCGCGCGGUGACCACGAGGGAGGUCAGCAAGCUCCCAGGUGCGGUUCUCCUGAACCGCGUCCAUCUCCGACUGCAUCGCGGCACGCCAUGCCGCGUGUUUCUCGGCCUCUGCAAAAGACCGAGGCUCACCGUCAUCGCACGCAAGGUGCAACUGCGCCUUAGGUCGCGAGGCACCAGUCCCGGCACCGGCUGGUCGCCGAGAAGAUCCUCCAUCGUACGGUACCGUAGCUGCUCGCCGUCGUGGUACGCGUCGAUGCGCUCCCCGUCGUGGGAGAGCGGAGUAGCGAACUCCACCGGGCUGCGCUCAACACGAGCUGGCGUCGGAGUAGACGUGCUUGGAGGAGUGGCUGUUGGUGCUGGAGCAUGUGGAGUCACUGGCUGGGGUGGUGUCGACGAAGAGCUCGUCGUAGUCGAAGUCGUGGCCCGAGGGUGUGUUGGUGUCGGAGUCGGUGGAGAUUCGGGGGCUAGGGUAGACACGCUCGGUGAAGAAGAGCUGCCUACUCCCCCAGCUCCCUCGAAGUGGACGUACUCGACGGUGAAGUCGUCGUACGUCGGAGUCGAACCAUCGUCCACCGCCUUGUCCCAUACCCACCCUCGCCCUUCGUCGAACACAACAUCGCGCACAAUGCGCACACGCUGUGUCUCCAGGUGGAGGAUGCGGUAGGCCUUCGAGCCCUCCGCUUAGCCGAUGAACACCCCUGGGGUGCUCCUGUCGUCGAGCUUGCCGAUGUGGCCAAGCUCCUUGGCGAACGCGAGGCAGCCGAAGACCCGCAGAUGGGAGACCGCCGGCUUGCGCCCAUGCCAAGCCUCGUACGGUGUCCUGCCAUCGAGGGCCUUGGUAGGCGAGCGGUUGAGGAUGUAGGCGGCCGUCACCACCGCCUCCCCCCAGAAGAUGGCCGGCAUCCCCCUCUGCUUGAGGAGGGCCCGAGCCAUCCCCACAACCGUCUGGUUGCGCCGCUUGACGACGCCGUUCUGCUGCGGGCUGUACGGCGUGGUAUAGUGGCACUAAAUGCCCUCAUCAGCGCAGUACGACGCGAAUUCAGCCGCUGUGAAUUCGCCGCCGUUGUCUGUGCGCAGCACGCGCAGCUUGCGACCGCACUCUGCCUCUGCAGCAGCCUGCGCAUGCCUGAUGGCGUCCGCAGCCUCUCCCUUGCUGCCGAGGACCAUCACCCACAUGUAGCAGGAGAGGUCGUCGACGAGUAGCAGGAAGUAACGUCGUCCUCCUGGUGUGGCCGGUGUCACUGGGCCACACAAGUCCCCGUGCACGAGCUCGAGCCGCUCCUUGGCUCGGAAGCUCGUCUGCUAGGGAAAGGGGAGCCGCCGCUGCUUCGUCACCACGCAAACGUCGCAGAGCUGCUCCACGUGGUCAAGGCACGGCAUGCCUCGCACCAUCUCCUUGGCACUGAGCUGCUUCAGGGCCUCGAAGUGGAGGUGCCCGAAGCGCUCGUGCCACUGCCACGCCUCGUCGUCCCGACGAGCGGCGAGGCAAACUGGUUGUGCUACCUGCGCGCUGAGGAUGUAGAGUCGAUUAGUGCCUCUGGUUACCUUGGCAAGAAGGCGACGACGGCGAUCCCAAAUCCUCAUGAAUCCGUCCUCGACCAACACGCGUGAGCCGUUCUCAUCCAGCUGUCCCACGCUGAUGAUAGAAUUCCUCAACGCGGGGAUGUAGUAGACUCCGGUGAGCAGCCUAUGCUCACCGGACUUGGCGGUGAAGGUGACGGAGCCAACACCCUUGAUCUCCACGCCGGAGGCGUCCCCGAACUUGACGGAGCCUCGGACGCUGGAGUCGAACUCGGUGAAGAACUCCCGUCGGCCGGUCAUGUGAUGGGUGGCGCCGGUGUCGAGGUACCACCCAUCAGCCUUGUCGUUGCUGGAGCCGUUGCAGAGGGAGACGAGUACCUUCGGCUCAUCAAGGUGGAGGAAAGCCGCUGCGGCCGGUGCCGCUGGAGGUAGCUCGAUGCUUGCGUGAGCUAGGAGCAGAGCCGGCUCUUCCUCCUCCACCCGUGCGACGUGGGCCUGGUCGCGUCGUGGCUGUCGACAGUCUUUGGCCCAAUGGCCAAGCUUGCCACAGUUGCGGCAGGCGUCGUCUCGUGCCGGCUUGUGGUUGCCGGUGGCAACGCCCUGGGCGCCUCUGCGGGCGCCACCCUCGGCACGUCUUCGCGCCCACCGUAGCUGGACACCUCCCCGUGCCUUGCGCGGCUUACGGCCGCCUGUCGGGGAAGAUGACUCCCCCUUCCUCCCGUCACCCUGAGAGGCCUCCCACUGCUCCCGAGUGAGAUGGAGCUUCCCGCCGAUGGUGAUGGGCCCCGAGAGAGGCUGUGGCUCAUCACCAUCGACGACCUUGAAGCGAUCUAACGCCUCCUCGAUCGACAUCGUGGAGAGGUCUAGCAGAGAUUCGAUCGAGCGAGCGAUCUGCCUGUACUUCUCAGGGACGCAGCGGAAGAGCUUCUCGACAGCUCUCUCCUCGUCGUAGGUGUCGUCGCCGUACUGCACCAUUUUCUGUAAGAGAGUGUUGAGACGGAGAGCAAAGUCAUCAACAUCCUCACCUGGCUUGAAGGCCAGGUUCUCCCACUCCUUGCGGAGUGCCUGCAAUGUGGACUUGCGGGCGCGGUCGCUGCCGAUGCGUGCCGCAGCGAUGGCGUCUCAGGCCUCCUUGGCAGUCCGCUUCUGGGAAAGCGAGAACUGCAUCUCGGGCGGGACUGCAGCGAUGAGGGCAUCUAGUGCCCGCCGAUCCUCGUCGUAGUCGACGUCGCCGUACCGGACUGCCUCCCACAUGUGCCGCACCUGGAGCCUCACCCUCAUCACCGCGGCCCACUCGAUGUAGUUGGUUUUGGUGAGGGUAGGCCACCCACCGCCGGGACCAAAGUCCCUGACCACCGUCUGGACGCCGUGGUGACCAUGGCGCCGGUCAGGGGAGAGAGAGCCGCGCUGCCUGCGAGGGCCACGUGCGGGCUCCGGGCUUCCGCCGGCACGCCCGCGCCCGUCUGGGUUCCCGUCGGCGGGCGCGUGGUCCCUUGGGCCGCCGCCACCGCCGUGGAGGUGGGCUGCUGCCCACCGCUCUGCCCGCUCCCGUGCCCUUCCUCUUGCCAGCUCCUCAAGCUCCCUGUCGGCGGUGAUGUCGCCGGCGAUGGAGCCGUUGAUGCUGCUGCGCAAGGUCUCAACCUCUACCUCCGUCACACGUGCCGCAUCUUCCGACGCCUCCGCCUCCGCCCUGGCUGCUGCCAACUCCGCUGCCGCCAGUCUGGCCGCCCUUGCUGCUGCUGCAGCGGUCUGAGCCGUUGCUCGCCUACGCUCUUCUGCUGCGGCGAGCUCAGCGUCCUGCUGACGCCGAGUGCUCGAGGCGACAGAACGCCGAGACCGAGCGUCGGACAUGGCGCACCUCCGGGGGGCUGCUGCGUGGAGAGGGGGAAGGGAAAGGGGAAGGAGGAGCAACCGGUGCUGCUGCUGCUGCUGGCUGAGAGCUCAACCGAGCUUGGGAAGGGGUGGAACAAGAGAUGUUUAGCCUACAGGAAAGUGUGGCUCUGAUACCAGAUGUUAGAAUUUCAAUGGUUACUCUCAUUGAGAAGAGGAUGGCACUCGAGAUGGGGCAAUUUUCUGGUUUUCUUCAUUCAUAAAACACAAAAGCCAUACCUACCCGAGGGAGGUUGGAUGCAUAUAUAUAGCCAUAGCUGGCUGCUAGCCUAUUGCUGCACCCUCCUAGUCUAAAAUUUGAAAUUUGAAUGAGAUGUUGUCCUAGAGGGCAUCCAAACUGAAUAAAGCAUAAAGGAGGCAUAAAGGAGAUGCUAACUGCUGCUGUCCUACUAACCGCAGCUGUCCUAGCAACUGAAAAAUAUGCUAAAGGGUAGAUGCUAUCCUGAAAAAGGUGAAACUACCCAAAAGCAAAAAGAAGAAUCACGACCAAGGACCACAAAGACUUAUCCAACAUUUUAUUAAACAUAGUUAUUUAGUUGGAGAUAUUCCCAAUUGUCACUAAAAUUUUCUGUAUCUACUUGACACGGUACCUGUGCUUGCAUCAGAUGUCGAAUCAACAAAUCACAACUUGUAAACUUCAAAGAUAGAAAUAAAAUAACUGAACCCUAGGUCUCAAUUAUUGCAAAGAUAACUCACAUAUGAUUAAACAGCCACAUACAUAUACACAUAACUGGGAAGUGCAAUCAUUUACAAAAGGCACUAUAGUAAACACAUAUAUGUAUUUAUAGAUUCCUCCACAUAAGAUUUGAGAUGGCAAAACCUACCAAGCUAGCACUAACCAGUUCACCACCAUUAUGAAGUAGAUAACAUUUUCAGUGUGGUGCUUCCGUGCUUAUUUGCAUUCAGGUGUUGACUGUUGUAUGUGCUAGAUAAAAGCUAAUGAAGAUUCAAUGUUCAAUUUGGGUACAUUACCAUUUUUAAUUAUUGGUUCCAAAUGAUAAUGCAGUCA